rnacentral:rRNA from 1 species
CAAUAGCGUAUAUUAAAGUUGUUGCGGUUAAAAAGCUCGUAGUCGAAUUUUUGUAAAAAUUCAUGUGCUCAUCGCGAGAAACGUGAAAUUUUUACUUCAGUUUUAUUGGUUCGCCGGUAAAACGUUUUACUUUGAGGAAAUUAGAGUGUUUCAAGCAGGUUUACGCCUUGAAUACUUUAGCAUGGAAUAAUAAAGAAGGACUUCGGUUCUCUUAUUGGUCUGUGAACCUUAGUAAUGAUGAAUAGAAACAGUCGGGGGCGUUCAUACUUGGCAGUCAGAGGUGAAAUUCUUGGAUUUGUCAAAGAUGAACUACUGCGAAANCANNNGCCAAGGAUGUUUUCAUNGA